rnacentral:rRNA from 1 species
AGUGGCGCACGGGUGCGUAACGCGUAUACACCUACCUUAUACAGGGGUAUAGCCCAGGGAAACUUGGAUUAACACCCCAUAGUUUGGCAUCAUUAAAACUACGGUGGUAUAAGAUGGGUAUGCGUCCCAUUAGCUUGUUGGUGUGGUAACGGCACACCAAGGCAACGAUGGGUAGGGGCCCUGAGAGGGGGAUCCCCCACACUGGUACUGAGACACGGACCAGACUCCUACGGGAGGCAGCAGUGAGGAAUAUUGGACAAUGGGCGGGAGCCUGAUCCAGCCAUGCCGCGUGCAGGAAGACUGCCUAUGGGUUGUAAACUGCUUUUAUACGGGAAGAAACCCACCUACGUGUAGGUGGCUGACGGUACCGUAAGAAUAAGGACCGGCUAACUCCGUGCCAGCAGCCGCGGUAAUACGGAGGGUCCGAGCGUUAUCCGGAAUCAUUGGGUUUAAAGGGUCCGCAGGCGGCCAGAUAAGUCAGUGGUGAAAUUCCGUGGCUCAACCACGGAACUGCCAUUGAUACUGUUUGGCUUGAAUCAGUUCGAGGAUGCCGGAAUGUGUGGUGUAGCGGUGAAUGCAUAGAUAUCACACAGAACACCAAUUGCGAAGCAGGUGUCCAGGACUGUAUGGACGCUGAUGACGAAGCCGUGGGUAGCGACCAGAAUUAGAAUAGCUGCUAGUACACGCCGA